CAGCAGCCGCGGGAAUACAGAGGGUGCGAGCGUUAAUCGGAUUUACUGGGCGUAAAGCGUGCGUAGGUGGUGGUUUAAGUCCGUUGUGAAAGCCCUGGGCUCAACCUGGGAAUUGCAGUGGAUACUGGGUCACUAGAGUGUGGUAGAGGAUAGUGGAAUUUCCGGUGUAGCAGUGAAAUGCGUAGAGAUCGGAAGGAACAUCUGUGGCGAAGGCGACUAUCUGGGCCAACACUGACACUGAGGCACGAAAGCGUGGGGAGCAAACAGGAUUAGAUACCCCUGUAGUCCCUGUCUCUUAUAU
rnacentral:rRNA from 1 species